rnacentral:rRNA from 1 species
GAUGAACGCUGGCGGCGUGCUUAAUACAUGCAAGUCGAACGAAGCACUUACGACAGAUCCCCUCGGGGUGAAGAUGUUUGUGACUUAGUGGCGGACGGGUGAGUAACGCGUGGGUAACCUGCCUCAUGCAGGGGGAUAACAGUUAGAAAUGACUGCUAAUACCGCAUAAGCGCACGUGACCGCAUGGUCGAGUGUGAAAAGAUUUAUCGGCAUGAGAUGGACCCGCGUCUGAUUAGGUAGUUGGUGGGGUAACGGCCCACCAAGCCCGCGAUCAGUAGCCGACUUGAGAGAGUGAUCGGCCACAUUGGGACUGAGACACGGCCCAG